CAUAAAGUAAAGAUUUUUAAUAAAUCAAUAAUACAUUAAAAUAUAGGAAGUAAAUGAAAAAUUUUACCUACAAAAUAUUAUAUCUACAAUCUACGGUAUCUCUCUCGGUAGACUACCGAGCCAAAGUUAAACCUCGCAUAAUAUUAAAAAAGUAGAAGUCGUUCUGUUAUAUGUUGGUUAAAACUACGAAGACUAAUACGUUCGAAAAAAUAAAUAGACAUGGCACGACCGCAGUUCGUAUGUGAUCGCAGUGUAUGGGAUGGCUGCAGUUAAGUUGAACAAACAUCAGACAAAAAAAAAAAAUGAUUAAUCUCGUUUUGAGAGAACGACUCAAAUAGUAACAAUCUUAAGAUAAAUAUGCAAUUAAUGACUAUUAAAAUAAUAUUCUGGAACACGAGUAAAUGUAUCAAAAUAGUAUGAAGGAACCAUAAACGUAAUUCAUAGAGCAUCAAAAAACGGUAAUAUAACUGCAGGUGGAUACAAAUAUUUUGUUGCCAAAAACAUGUUAUUGAUCACAAAUGGGUACACAGUAGGAUAUGUGAAUGACCUUUUUCAUCUGCAAAAAUAAAUAACGUCGCCCACCAAUCAAACAUACAUUUGUGCCUCAUCAACAAAAGCAAUAAAACAUUAUAUUGUACCGCAAAACCGCACUAAGAGAAAAUUUUCCUCGUAAAUAAAGUAUUCAAA